rnacentral:rRNA from 1 species
UACGUAGGGUGCAAGCGUUAAUCGGAAUUACUGGGCGUAAAGCGUGCGCAGGCGGUUUUGUAAGUCUGUCGUGAAAUCCCCGGGCUCAACCUGGGAAUUGCGAUGGAGACUGCAAGGCUAGAAUCUGGCAGAGGGGGGUAGAAUUCCACGUGUAGCAGUGAAGUGCGUAGAGAUGUGGAGGAACACCGAUGGCGAAGGCAGCCCCCUGGGUCAAGAUUGACGCUCAUGCACGAAAGCGUGGGGAGCAAACAGG